GAAGCCAGCAAGACAGUAUGGGUGCUUCUAAUUUGUGGUCUCCAGAGAGGAAAUUUUGUCUAAGAAUUUUUUUUUUUGAGAGAUCAGUUGGACAAGAACAUCCCUUCAAGUUACUAGAAGAAGAAUGGACCUUUUUGAUGUCACUGUUAUUCCAGAAAGAAUCUCUGGCAUGCUCCCCUCCAGCUAACGUCAGAAAGAAAAGGGGGCCCUUGCAAAUCACUCCAGCAAAAAAAAGUUAGAGACCAAGACAUGACUGCAAGCACAAAGGUGGACAUAUGCCCAAGACUUGCCAAUCAUUUUAUCCCCUGAACCUAGACAUUAUGGUCAUCUGGUCAUAAAAUGUGUUCAAAGAUAAAUGCCU
rnacentral:lncRNA from 1 species